CAUGCAAGUCGAGCGGGGAAGKGUAGCUUGCUACAUUACCUAGCGGCGGACGGGUGAGUAAUGCUUAGGAAUCUGCCUAUUAGUGGGGGACAACAUUCCGAAAGGAAUGCUAAUACCGCAUACGUCCUACGGGAGAAAGCAGGGGAUCUUCGGACCUUGCGCUAAUAGAUGAGCCUAAGUCGGAUUAGCUAGUUGGUGGGGUAAAGGCCUACCAAGGCGACGAUCUGUAGCGGGUCUGAGAGGAUGAUCCGCCACACUGGGACUGAGACACGGCCCAGACUCCUACGGGAGGCAGCAGUGGGGAAUAUUGGACAAUGGGCGGAAGCCUGAUCCAGCCAUGCCGCGUGUGUGAAGAAGGCCUUUUGGUUGUAAAGCACUUUAAGCGAGGAGGAGGCUACUCUAGUUAAUACCUAGAGAUAGUGGACGUUACUCGCAGAAUAAGCACCGGCUAA
rnacentral:rRNA from 1 species